GACGAACGCUGGCGGCGUGCUUAACACAUGCAAGUCGAACGAUGAUGCUGGAGCUUGCUCCAGUUGAUUAGUGGCGAACGGGUGAGUAACACGUGAGCAAUCUGCCCUUGACUCUGGGAUAACUGCGGGAAACUGUAGCUAAUACCGCAUACUUUCACCGGAAGGCACCUUCUGGUGAUGAAAGAAUUUCGGUCAGGGCUGAGCUCGGGGCCUAUCAGCUUGUUGGUGAGGUAACGGCUCACCAAGGCGACGACGGGUAACCGGCCGGCGAGGGUGGCCGGUCACACUGGGACUGAGACACGGCGCAGACUCCUACGGGAGGCAGCAGUGGGGAAUAGUGCGCAAUGGGCGCAAGCCUGAUGCAGCAACGCCGCGUGAGGGAUGAAGGCCUUCGGGUUGUAAACCUCUUUUAGCAGGGAAGAAGCGAAAGUGACGGUACCUGCAGAAAAAGCACCGGCUAACUACGUGCCAGCAGCCGCGGUAA
rnacentral:rRNA from 1 species